GUCUACGGCCAUGCCACCCUGAAUGUGCCCAAUCUUGUCUGAUCUCCAAAGUUAAGCAGGGUCAGGCCUGGUCUGGUUAGUACUUGGAUGGGAGACCACCUAAGAAUACCAAGAGCUGUAGAUG
ensembl:rRNA 5S_rRNA 5S ribosomal RNA